rnacentral:tRNA from 1 species
GAAGUGGAAUAAUCAAAACUAAGCUUCUAACUUAGUUUACCAGUGGUGAAAGCCCAUUGACACUUCU